UACAGAGGUCCCGAGCGUUGUUCGGAUUUAUUGGGCGUAAAGGGUGCGUAGGUGGUAAAGUAAGUUGGAUGUGAAAUCCUGGGGCUCAACCUCAGAAUUGCAUUCAAUACUGCUUAGCUAGAGAGCUGUAGAGGAGACUGGAAUUCCUAGUGUAGAGUUGAAAUUCGUAGAUAUUAGGAAGAACACCAGUGGCGAAGGCGGCUCACUGGUCCGGUACUGACGCUGAGGUGCGAAAGCGUGGGGAGCAAACAGG
rnacentral:rRNA from 1 species